rnacentral:rRNA from 1 species
UACGUAGGGUGCAAGCGUUGUCCGGAAUUAUUGGGCGUAAAGAGCUCGUAGGCGGUUUGUCGCGUCUGCUGUGAAAACCCGAGGCUCAAUCUCGGGCCUGCAGUGGGUACGGGCAGACUAGAGUGCGGUAGGGGAGAUUGGAAUUCCUGGUGUAGCGGUGGAAUGCGCAGAUAUCAGGAGGAACACCAAUGGCGAAGGCAGAUCUCUGGGCCGUAACUGACGCUGGAGGAGCGAAAGCAUGGGGAGCGAACAGG